GCGAAAACUUUACAAUGCCGGCAACGGCGAUAAGGGGACCUCGAGUGCCAGGUUACAAAUCUGGCUGUCGUGAUGCCUAAAAAGCAUUGCAUAGCAAGGGCCGGGCAAGACCGGUGCCAGUCGCCGCGGUAACACCGGCGGCUCGAGUGGUAACCGUUAUUAUUGGGUCUAAAGGGUCUGUAGCCGGCCGGAUAAGUCUCUUGGGAAAUCCAGCAGCUUAACUGUUGGGCUUUCAGGAGAUACUGUCUGGCUCGAGGCCGGGAGAGGUGAGAGGUACUUCAGGGGUAGGGGUGAAAUCUUGUAAUCCGUGAAGGACCACCAGUGGCGAAGGCGUCUCACCAGAACGGACCUGACGGCAAGGGACGAAAGCUAGGGGCACGAACC
rnacentral:rRNA from 1 species